GAAAAAAAAAAAUACAGUGAGAGAGAGUGGCAGCAGCUGGGAGUCUCUGCUUUUUGUCCUGUCUAAUUUUGAAUUGAUUAGAGUGUCUUUUUUUUUUUUUAAAGGGAAGAAAAAAAUUAAAUAGGAAAUCAAGUUGGAAGAGGAGGGGCUGGGGAGACUCAAGGGUGCCAGUGAGGUUGCCACCAUCCUUUUCAUAUUGUAUAAGGUUAAAAAUCUGUGUCCACUCUUCCGGGUAUCUAAUCUUCAUCUGCUCCAAAUAAUAUUAAAAGAAAAGGCAAAAGGAGCUGAGGUUUUGGAACUCAAGAAAGACAGCAGAGUUGUGUGCAUUGCAUCCACCUCCUUGGUUUUAAGGACACCGCCUCAAGUUCUAUACCUCAUAAGUGAUCAUCUCUUCCCUCCUAAUCUCAGAGGAUGAAGUGACUUCCUUUAACCAAGGUAAGGUCUCAUUACUUCAUCUGUAGCUUGAUUUUAGGGCCAGGUCAUUUCUUCUAAUGCCUUAUUCUAUUAUCUAAUAUUUUUGUCUACCAUAGUCAUUCAUUCAUCACACAUUUGUUUGAUGAACAUCUCCUAUGCAUAGAAUCCCCUGCUAACUUCUGGGAAAUAUACAUAUUUUAGAUUAAGCAUGGCUCUUGUGUUUAUGAAGUUUGCAAUCUUGUAGAGAGAAUAUGUGUAUGUGCAGAUACUAAAAAUAUGCACUGGUAGUUGAAAAUUACAUUAGAAAUUUGAUCAUAUAUUAAUAUAUUCUCCCUAGUAAGCCAAUAAUUAGAGUUCGCUAGCUGUAUUCCCUAGCCUUAUCACUUUAUUCGUUAAGCUGGAGAUGAACCUGAAUUUUGUGCUUAGCAGGAAGUUCCUUGAUAUUGACAGAACCACAAAUGCAUCCCACAAUCCUCAUGGACUAACCCUGAUCUUGUCUUUGCCUUCUAUAUUUGUUUGAAGCCAGUUCCUUAAUUCUUGGUCUUCUUCUUCUUCUUCUUCUUCUUUUUUUUACUUAAGGGAGGAUAGGAAAGGAAAUGGGAAGAACUACAAAUUAGAGGCAUGAGGGAGAUGGUAACUAUUAACUAGUGAGAUAUAAUUGAAAAUUUCAUCAAGGUAGCAUUUGAAUUGGUGAGAAUUCAGUAGAUGAAGAUAAGGACUAAGGAUUAUGCCAUGUGAGUAUGUCAAGUAUUAUUCUCCACUGUAAUAAAUUUACUGUAUUUUAAAACCA
rnacentral:lncRNA from 1 species